GGGUCAGUAGGUUGGUCGUGCCACCGGUACGUACUGGUCUCACUGAUUCCUCCUUCCUGAAGAACCGUAAUGCCAUUAAUUUGGUGUUGCGGGGCGACAGGACUGUUACUUUGAAAAAUUUAGAGUGUUUAAAGCAAGCUAACGCUUGAAUACAUUAGCAUGGAAUAAUGAAAUAGGACGAUCGAUCCUAUUUUGUUGGUUUCUAGGAUUGACGUA
rnacentral:rRNA from 1 species